rnacentral:rRNA from 1 species
GAUGAACGCUGGCGGCGUGCUUAAUACAUGCAAGUCGAACGAAUUGAAGAUGUGCUUGCACAUCUGAUGUUAGUGGCGAACGGGUGAGUAAUACAUAGGCAACUUGCCCCAAGGACUGGGAUAACACUUAGAAAUGAGUGCUAAUACCGGAUAGGUAAUACAAAGGCAUCUUAGUAUUAUUAAAGUUGGGUAUCCAACACCAUGGGAUGGGCUUAUGCUGUAUUAGCUAGUUGGUGAGAUAAAAGCCCACCAAGGCGAUGAUACAUAGCUGGUCUGAGAGGAUGAACAGCCACAUUGGGACUGAGACACGGCCCAGACUCCUACGGGAGGCAGCAGUGGGGAAUUUUGGACAAUGGGCGCAAGCCUGAUCCAGCAAUGCCGCGUGCAGGAAGAAGGCCUUCGGGUUGUAAACUGCUUUUGUACGGAGCGAAAAGGCUCCCUCUAAUACAGGGGGCUCAUGACGGUACCGUAAGAAUAAGCACCGGCUAACUACGUGCCAGCCGCCGCCGUAAGAC